rnacentral:misc_RNA from 1 species
UUGGUGGAUGUUCGUUUGCCCAUCAGAGAAAGGGUGUGAUGAUCCUCUGAUUAAUCCUUUCAUGGAUGGAAAUUCAUCAAGCUUUGAAGGGCUGGGAUGUCAGAGACUGCUUGUUUUAGUUGCAGAGAAAGACAUAUUAAGGGAUAGAGGAAGGAUGUACUAUGAAAAAUUGGUGAAAAGUGGGUGGCCAGGGACUGCCAAGAUUAUUGAAACCAAAGGAGAGGAUCACAUCUUCCAUAUAUUUGAUCCCAAUUGUGAGAAUGCUAAGGCCUUGUUCAAACUUCUUGGUUCUUUCUUCAACCAAGCAUAAUUCUGUUUCUUCGUCUAUUAUUUACCUGCUUUUGUUGAUUUGGUUCCUAAGAAAAUUGGAACUCGAGACUUAUUAUUAUUAUUUAAAGAUAUAUGAUUAUAUAAGAUGAAUUGUUU